rnacentral:piRNA from 1 species
UAUUAUGAGAAAACAAAUAAU